rnacentral:tRNA from 5 species
GCCCGGAUGGUCUAGUGGUAUGAUUCGCGCUUAGGGUUCACCCAAAGCAUUAACUGCGCGAGGUCCCCGGUUCAAUCCCGGGUUCGGGCC